AACGAACGCUGGCGGCAUGCCUAACACAUGCAAGUCGAACGAGAUCUUCGGGUCUAGUGGCGCACGGGUGCGUAACGCGUGGGAAUCUGCCCUUUGGUUCGGGAUAACAGUUGGAAACGACUGCUAAUAACGGAAGAUGACGAAAGUCCAAAGAUUUAUCGCCAGAGGAUGAGCCCGCGUAGGAUUAGCUUGUUGGUGUGGUAAAGGCGCACCAAGGCGACGAUCCUUAGCUGGUCUGAGAGGAUGAUCAGCCACACUGGGACUGAGAUACGGCCCAGACUUCUACGGAAGGCAGCAGUGAGGAAUUUUGGACAAUGGGGGCAACCCUGAUCCAGCGAUGUCGCGUGUAUGAUGAAGGCCAUUUGGUUGUAAAGUACUUUCGUCGGUGAAGAUAAUGACGGUAACCGAAAAAGAAGCUCCGGCUAACUUCGUGCCAGCAGCCGCCGUAA
rnacentral:rRNA from 1 species